rnacentral:snoRNA from 1 species
AUCCCAAGAUAAUGACAGGCAGCCACGUACUCCUGCAGACACUCUCAUGCUUCAGGAAUAGACUCAUCUCUUGUCUACUGGAAACUUGAAAUCCUUCCACAAAGGGC